rnacentral:rRNA from 1 species
AGAGUUUGAUCCUGGCUCAGAUUGAACGCUGGCGGCAUGCCUAACACAUGCAAGUCGAACGGAAACGACGAAAACAAUCCCUUCGGGGUGCGUCUUCGGGCGUCGAGUGGCGGACGGGUGCGUAACGCGUAGGAAUCUACCUUAUAGUGGGGGACAACUCGAGGAAACUCGAGCUAAUACCGCAUAAUCCUUACGAGGGAAAGCAGGGGAUCUUCGGACCUUGUGCUAUUAGAUGAGCCUGCGUCGGAUUAGCUUGUUGGUAGGGUAAUGGCCUACCAAGGCAACGAUCCGUAGCUGGUCUGAGAGGACGACCAGCCACACUGGGACUGAGACACGGCCCAGACUCCUACGGGAGGCAGCAGUGGGGAAUAUUGGACAAUGGGCGCAAGCCUGAUCCAGCAAUGCCGCGUGUGUGAAGAAGGCCUUAGGGUUGUAAAGCACUUUCAGUAGGGAAGAAAUGCGUGUAGCUAAUAACUGCGCGUCUUGACGGUACCUACAGAAGAAGCACCGGCUAACUCCGUGCCAGCAGCCGCGGUAAUACGGAGGGUGCAAGCGUUAUCCGGAUUUAUUGGGUUUAAAGGGUGCGUAGGCGGGAUAAUAAGUCAGUGGUGAAAUACUGCAGCUCAACUGUAGAACUGCCAUUGAUACUGUUAUUCUUGAGUGCGAUUGAGGUAGGCGGAAUGUGUAAUGUAGCGGUGAAAUGCUUAGAUAUUACACAGAACACCGAUUGCGUAGGCAGCAUACUAAGUCGUAACUGACGCUAAGGCACGAAAGCGUGGGGAUCGAACAGGAUUAGAUACCCUGGUAGUCCACGCUGUAAACGAUGAUCACUAGCUGUUGGCGAUACACCGAUCAGCGGCAAAGCGAAAGCAUUAAGUGAUCCACCUGGGGAGUACGAUCGCAAGAUUGAAACUCAAAGGAAUUGACGGGGGCCCGCACAAGCGGAGGAACAUGUGGUUUAAUUCGAUGAUACGCGAGGAACCUUACCUGGGCUUAAAUGCAGGACGACGUACUGGGAAACUAGUACUCCCUUCGGGGCGGACUGCAAGGUGCUGCAUGGUUGUCGUCAGCUCGUGCCGUGAGGUGUCGGGUUAAGUCCCAUAACGAGCGCAACCCCUAUCGUUAGUUGCCAGCGGAUCAUGCCGGGGACUCUAACGAAACUGCCGGUGUAAACCGAGAGGAAGGUGGGGAUGACGUCAAAUCAGCACGGCCCUUAUGUCCAGGGCUGCACACGUGUUACAAUGGUCGGUACAGAGGGCAGCUACCUGGUAACAGGAUGCUAAUCUCGAAAGCCGGUCUUAGUUCGGAUCGAAGUCUGCAACUCGACUUCGUGAAGCUGGAUUCGCUAGUAAUCGCGCAUCAGCCAUGGCGCGGUGAAUACGUUCCCGGGCCUUGUACACACCGCCCGUCAAGCCAUGGAAGCUGGGGGUACCUGAAGUCUGUAACCGCAAGGAGCGGCCUAGGGUAAAACUAGUGACUGGGGCUAAGUCGUAACAAGGUA